ACCUCCCAUCUUCUGGGCAUCCCGGCCGAGAUGCUGUCACGGAAAACGCUCACCUCGGCCGAGUCCUGCGUACGAGAUUACCCAUCGCCGCCUCCCUCCCAGUGACCCAGGACCACCUAUGAGCAUCAGGGCCCAGCGGAUGAUCUCAAACUCUUCACGGUUAUUACAGGUGUCAACGGGAUGGAAAUGAAGCCAGGAGCUCUGUCGAGAUUCGGCCGUCAAGAUGCAAAAAGGAGCAUUCUGCUUCCCAGCAUUCCUUGCCAAGGAUGAUCUCAGAUUCAUCUGUUCCCAUUCACAGUGAGCAAAGGCCUCAAGUUUAUUAAGGGACACAGCCCAGCCUUCCAGACCUCGGAGUGCUACCAACCUCCCACGACCACAGCCCUGAUCAGCUUGCGGGGGUGCUCAGGUCACCCACAAGUGAACACCUGCCCAGAGACGGAAUGAGCCCAACUGAAGACCACACAACCCAGCUCCCCCAACCCCAUCCCUACGCUCGUGCCUGCACUCAACCGAAAAG